ACCUGGAUGGCUCAAUUGGUUGGGUGUCUGACUUCGGCUCAGGUCAUGAUCUCAACAUCUGUGAGUUUGAGCCCCGCUUCAGGCU
rnacentral:tRNA from 1 species